rnacentral:rRNA from 1 species
UGGGGAAUAUUGGACAAUGGGGGGAACCCUGAUCCAGCCAUGCCGCGUGUGUGAAGAAGGCCUUAUGGUUGUAAAGCACUUUAAGCGAGGAGGAGGCUCUCUUGGUUAAUACCCAAGAAGAGUGGACGUUACUCGCAGAAUAAGCACCGGCUAACUCUGUGCCAGCAGCCGCGGUAAUACAGAGGGUGCGAGCGUUAAUCGGAUUUACUGGGCGUAAAGCGUGCGUAGGCGGCGUUUUAAGUCGGAUGUGAAAUCCCCGAGCUUAACUUGGGAAUUGCAUUCGAUACUGAGAAGCUAGAGUAUGGGAGAGGAUGGUAGAAUUCCAGGUGUAGCGGUGAAAUGCGUAGAGAUCUGGAGGAAUACCGAUGGCGAAGGCAGCCAUCUGGCCUAAUACUGACGCUGAGGUACGAAAGCAUGGGGAGCAAACAGG